UACGUAGGGUGCGAGCGUUAAUCGGAAUUACUGGGCGUAAAGCGUGCGCAGGCGGUUUUGUAAGUCAGAUGUGAAAUCCCCGGGCUUAACCUGGGAACUGCGUUUGAAACUACAAGGCUAGAGUGUGGCAGAGGGGGUGGAAUUCCACGUGUAGCAGUGAAAUGCGUAGAGAUGUGGAGGAACACCGAUGGCGAAGGCAGCCCCCUGGGUUAACACUGACGCUCAGGCACGAAAGCGUGGGGAGCAAACAGG
rnacentral:rRNA from 1 species